ACUCUUUCAUCAACCAAUACUACAAACUCUCUCUCUCUCAUAGUCUUACUCCCUCUCCUACCUGUCUCUCUCUUACAGUCGUACUCCCUCUCCUACCUCUCUCUCUCUUCUCUUAUUCAUGGAGUUAGUUUUGAAGUUAAUUUCAAGCUUUUGUGCAAUUGUUGUGGUGAUAUUAUUGGGAUGGAGAAUUUUCAAUUGGGUUUGGUUGAGACCAAGAAAGCUUGAAAAGUACCUCAGAAAUCAGGGUUUUAAUGGAAACUCGUACAGACUAUUUUUUGGAGACGUGAAAGAAAUGAUUGUGAUGCUAAAAGAAGCCAAAUCCAAACCCAUCAAUCUCUAUGAUGAUAUUAUCCCCCGCAUCAUUCCCCUCAACCAAAAAAUCAUCACAA
rnacentral:lncRNA from 1 species